UGGGGAAUAUUGGACAAUGGGCGCAAGCCUGAUCCAGCAAUGCCGCGUGUGUGAAGAAGGCCUUCGGGUUGUAAAGCACUUUUAUCAGGAGCGAAACGCUGUCGGCUAAUACCCGGCGGAACUGACGGUACCUGAGGAAUAAGCACCGGCUAACUUCGUGCCAGCAGCCGCGGUAAUACGAAGGGUGCAAGCGUUAAUCGGAAUUACUGGGCGUAAAGCGUGCGUAGGCGGUUUCUUAAGUCUGCUGUGAAAUCCCCGGGCUCAACCUGGGAAUGGCAGUGGAUACUGGGAGGCUAGAGUGUGUCAGAGGGUGGUGGAAUUCCCGGUGUAGCGGUGAAAUGCGUAGAGAUCGGGAGGAACAUCAGUGGCGAAGGCGGCCACCUGGGACAACACUGACGCUGAGGCACGAAAGCGUGGGGAGCAAACAGGAUUAGAUACCCUGGUAGUCCACGCCCUAAACGAUGCGAACUGGAUGUUGGUCUCAACUCGGAGAUCAGUGUCGAAGCUAACGCGUUAAAGUUCGCCGCCUGGGGAGUACGGUCGCAAGACUGAAACUUAAAUGAAUUGACGGGGUCAUAGCUGUUUCCUG
rnacentral:rRNA from 1 species